rnacentral:rRNA from 1 species
CUACGGGCGGCAGCAGUCGAGAAUCAUUCGCAAUGGGCGAAAGCCUGACGAUGCGACGCCGUGUGAACGAAGAAGGCCUUCGGGUUGUAAAGUUCUUUCGCUUGGGAGCAAGAAAGACAGAUUAAUAAUUUGUUAAUUUGAGAGUACCAAGUAAAGAAGCACCGGCUAACUCCGUGCCAGCAGCUGCGGUAAUACGGAGGGUGCAAGCAUUAAUCGGAUUUAUUGGGCAUAAAGGGCACGUAGGUGGUUAAGUAAGUCAGAUGUGAAAUUACGAAGCUUAACUUCGUAGCUGCAUUUGAAACUACUUUACUAGAGUGUGGGCGAAGAAAAUGGAAUUCCAUGUGUAGCGGUGAAAUGCGUAGAUAUGUGGAAGAACACCGGUAGCGAAAGCGGUUUUCUAGCUUAUUACUGACACUGAGGUGCGAAAGCAAGGGGAGCAAACAGGAUUAGAUACCCCGGUAGUC